AUGGCUCAGGACAACGCUGGCGGCGUGCCUAAUACAUGCAAGUCGAACGGUCUUUCUAUGGAAGCUUGCUUCCACUGAGAAGAUAGUGGCGAACGGGUGAGUAACACGUGGGUAACCUGCCCAUAAGAGGGGGGAUAACAUCCGGAAACGGGUGCUAAUACCGCAUAGUUUUCUUGAUCGCAUGAUCGGGAAAGGAAAGACGGCCUUUGUGCUGUCGCUUAUGGAUGGACCCGCGGCGUAUUAGUUAGUUGGUGAGGUAACGGCUCACCAAGACGAUGAUACGUAGCCGACCUGAGAGGUGAUCGGCCACAUUGGGACUGAGACACGGCCCAAACUCCUACGGGAGGCAGCAGUAGGGAAUCUUCCGCAAUGGACGAAAGUCUGACGGAGCAACGCCGCGUGAGUGAAGAAAAGGUUUUCGGAUCGUAAAACUCUGUUGUCAGAGAAGAACAAGUUGGAGAGUAACUGCUCCAGCCUUGACGGUAUCUGACCAGAAAGCCACGGCUAACUACGUGCCAGCCGCGGC
rnacentral:rRNA from 1 species